UCAGGGUGUAGCGCAGUUGGUAGCGCACCCGCGUGGUAAGCGGGGGGUCGUGGGUUCGAGUCCCACCAUCCCCGU
rnacentral:tRNA from 1 species